GGCAACUGAUGUAUUAGUUCAAGCCUUAACUUUAAAAUGGAAAUCAACUGGACAUAUAGCCUUCAAGACCAGAGAUGGACAAAAAAGUAACACUAUGAAAGGGCCCACUAGGAAAAAGAAAGAGGGGAAGACCAUAUAAAGGAAGUAGCAACUACAAACUGUAUUAAAAUUACCCAAUCUAGAAAAGAUUAGCUAUCCUUGAAGGAGGCCUCUACCCGAGGAGGGGUCUUGCAAUAAUGCGUCACACAUCGAGCGAAUCGAGAGGCAAUGUAUCAAGCAGGCACACUGCGUAAAUCACCCCCCGAUAUCGAGUGCCAUCCGACAGUGGAGCUCAAAGUUUUAUACGUAAAGGGGCGUUUGGAAGUCACUUUUAAAUGAGCUUGAUUGAAGUUCAUUGUAUGUAACAGUCGGAAUAUACUGUCGACUAACAAACCUCUUUAGAUAUACCAAAAUGAAUGAAAAUUAUAUGAAUGAAAUUAUAGAAGUUUAUAGCCUUGCGCUGUAGAAAUAAAUAACUGAAACAACUGAUCUAUACGCAGCACGAUAAUUUAAUGGAAAAUAUUUAUUUUACUUGCCGCUUUUUAAAUGUUAAUAUCAGGUGUUUUCCUUUUAUUAUAAUAAAAAAAAAACAUAUUGUAAA